rnacentral:lncRNA from 1 species
UUUUAUUUAUUUAUUCAUGAGAGACACAGAGAGAGAGAGGCAGAGACACAGGGGGAGGGAGAAGUAGGCUUCUGGCAAGGAGCCCGAUGUGGCACUUAAUCCCUGAUCACGGCAUCAUGCCCUAAGUCAAAGGCAGACGCUCAACCACUGAGCCACUCAGGCGUACCUGUAUUCUAUAUUUUUCAAAAAAAAUUGUAGAAAGUAGAAAUAGACCAAAGUUGAGACAAAAAAGUUUAUACCCACUGAACAUUUGAUGGGAAUGUGAUUUUACAUAACCUACAUGUAUCCCUAUUGACUUGUACUCAUUUUAAAUAGUAUCUACAUGUAUUUAUUUAUUUAUUUAUUUAUUUAUUUAUUUAUUUAUCUAUUUAUUUAUUUAAUAUUCUAUUUAUUUAUUCAUGAGAGAUACAGCGAGAGAGAGACAUAGGCAGAGAGAGAAAUAGGCUCCAUGCAGGGAGCCUGAUGUGAGACUCAAUCCCGGGACUCUAGGAUCACACCUAGGCCGAAGGCAGUGCUCAACUGCUGAGCCACCCAGGCAUCCCAACUGUAUCUACAUUUAACGAAAAAAAGACUUCUCUAACAGUAACAAUCAUUAGUUUAAAUAAUAACUUUAGGAUUUUUUCAUUUAUAGAAGAAUGAAUUUGAUGCUUGGCACAUUGAUUCAAUAACAUGUGUGAGCCUAUGCAAUCAUAGAGUCCAAGCUCACCAGGAAAAGAAGUUGGCAAAAUGUUUCCCUGUCAGCGUCUUCCUGUGUGGAACACAAACAUGCAAGACUCUGAAUAUUCUUUUCCUUUGUUAUUCUCUGCCCUUGUUGGUGUGCAGAGAUAAACCACAGACUUUUUGGAGCCUAAAAAGGAGGUCAGAUGCACACUGACACACACACAUUUAAACAGAAUCCCGGGGAUCCCUGGGUGGCUCAGCGGUUUAGCGCCUGUCUUCAGCCCGGGGCGUGAUCCUGGAGACCCAAGAUCGAGUUCCACAUCGGGCUCCCUGCAUGGAGCCUGCUUCUCCCUCUGCCUGCAUCUCUGCCCCCAUCCCCCUCUGUGUCUCUCAUGAAUAAAUAAAUAACAUCUUAAAAAUAAAUAAAUAAAUAGAACCACUUGAGAGAUUCAGUCUUACCUUCUCUUAUUAUUGGCUCCUACUAGUUCAAUUGUCCCAUGUUCCUAUGUUUAUAUUUGAUACUAACUAGAUCUUGUCAAAAUAAAAUUAAUUAAUGGGGAAACUCCCAAAGAUGAUCACCUGACCCAAAAGUUAUAGUAGACAACUCACCUCACAUUCUGCUUGUUUUAUAUAUGAACUAAUUUUUAAAAAAUGCAUGACAUAACAUCAUAAUGCAUAGCAUUUAUUGAAACUUCAUUGAAAGUCCAAUAUGUAUAUUUUUUUAGUGCUCCUGGUUUUCAUUUCCAGUGAAUAUAAAAGUGAAGAUGUUGACCAUAGUUUUUAAGGUUCCCUACAGUUCUUAAGUAGUGAUAUAAAAUUUAUUAUUCAUCUACUAUUCCUUAGACUCUGUGCCCAUAGGUAUAUGUUUAUUUUUAUGAAUACAUUAAGAGUAAUACUGCAAACAAUUUCUUUAUGUUUAAGUUAAGGAAUUGUUCCCUUCUGGCAACUAUAAAUAGAUGUAUUUUUAAGAAGCAUUAAGUACAACUAUAGUCCUUUAAAGUGAUUUUUUUCCUAAUACUUAUAAAGCAGUAUAUAGCAACUAAGUUAUUAGAUGAGUGUUCAUGGCUACUAUACAGUUAUUUUUCUGUCUUACUUUCCACCUGGUAUAUUAACAUAAUAUAAGUAAUUUUGAAAGCCAAUGUUAAGCAGUAAGACCAUAAAUGCUCUAUAUUAUCUUGAUUUAUAAAUAUCUUUUCAUAAUUAUUAAACUUGGAAAAUCUUAUAAUAAGCACAGAGAGGCUAACAACGUUCUCCAACAGACUAUACUUACUGUUUAUAGCAGAAACAUAAAAUUAUGAGGAAAAAACAUACCUGCUAAACUUUCAGGUUACAGAAGUGUAAAUUACCCAUUAUCACAGUACAUAAAAAUGCAGCCUGCAAAAUUGUCUACUUUCCAGUAAUUACUGGAAUUGAAUGUUUUGAGAGCUAAAUAGAAGAGAAAAUAUUUGUAUAAAAUUAUUUUUAACUAAGACUUUUCUCUCUCAUCUGUGACAACUUUUCUGCUAUGAAAAGUUCAUAUAUUACACAGGGAUACUUUUAUAGAAAGGUAUUUGCUACACUUACUUCAUUGUACCCUUAAUUAUGAAAAUAUAGUAAUACUAAAUGCGUGUAAAACAAAACAUGAAUACAAAUUUCACACUGUAAAACAAAAGAAAUCAAAUGGCAUUUUUGGUCAAUUUUACCUAAGUUUCUAAGUAUUCUUAAUAGUAUUCUCUAUCUUUGUUAACUGUCUUCAUUUUGAGCUUCAUUAAAGCUGUAUAUGCCAGGUUAAUGUAGUGAAAUGAUAGCAGUGGACACUUGAAAACAUUUUACAGUUUAGAAUAUAUUUUUCCAAUUCAUUAUGAUAUGUCAUCCUUACCAAAACUAUAUUAACAUCUUUAUUUAUUUUGUAGCAAGUAACCCAAAGCAGAGAAACCAUAAAUCAUUUGCCUAAAGGGCUGAUCGAGGCAAAGCCAGAUACAUGUUUUUAAAAAAAGGUGAAAUGCCUUUUCUAGUUCUUAAUAGGUACAUUUCUAGAAUAUACUAUUGUAUAUUCUAUACAAUAUACUAGAAUAUACUAUUGUAUAUUGUAUACUAUACACUACUAUUUUUAGUUGGGAAUUUGGAGCUUUGAAAUUACAAUAAAGUAGUUUAGAAAAUAAUACAAAUAAACAGAAGACACUGAGUUCUGUUAGAUUUCUAUUUAUCAAAGCUUAGGAAAAUCUGAAGAAAAGUGAAAAUGUGUUAUUUGUGUAUGUUUGUGUUCAGGGCAGUGCCAGAGUGGUAGAUGACUGGGUAACUGGGGUGGUGCAGAAAGGAAGUUGUACUCAGAGUUGUCUGUCAGGCCAGGGAGAAAGAAAGAAAACCUGAGAAUGAAUAGUGAAAAAAAAAGGGAAAAGGCUAAUUUUUUUCAGCUUUCUCAUUCCCUUUUUUUCCCUCCUCUAUUCAAUGAUUUUUUUUUUGUUUUUCUUACCAGUCCUCAUGCAUUUUUCAAAUGUGGCAUUGGGUCUAAGAAGAGAUUCUUAGUCUAAUUCUCCUUUUUUGAAUUUCAUUUUCCUUAUUUCUCAUUCCCCUUGUUCUUUAUAGGUUUAUUUCCUGGCACUAGGCUAAUAUUAGACAGAAAAUUAUAACCACCUGGUAUUCUUAAAUUAUAAGUCUUGGUUAUUAUAGUGACUCACUCACUUCAAAAUAUUACAACAAACAAUAAAAAAUCUAGAUAAUAUAAGUAAAAGCAAAUUGUAAUUUAUUUGUAAAUUUGUAAAUUUAUUUUCCUCUUGCAAAUCCUGGAAGGAGCUAUAAGGAAAAAAUAAACAACUUAAUAUAUACACACUAGUUCCAGUAAAUACAUACUAAUUUAGAUUUUCCAGUGGCUUUGUGUAGAGAGAAACUUCUUACUGCAGAAUCUAUUAGCAUAUGGUUAAUAAUAUUGGGUUGAUUUGAAUGUUAUUAUAGGGUAAAUCAUAUCUUCUGAAGCAGAGCUACAAUAAAUGGCAAAAUCCUCAUUUAAUGGUAAGUCUGUAAAGUUGCUUUCAGCUGUCUCUUGAGAAUAAUAAUCCAAAUCAAAUUAUUAAGAAGUAUUAUCUCAAAACUCAUUCCAUUUGUUGAAUGCUUUCAUUAUACCAAGCACUCUCUGCAUUGUCCUGUUGACUAUGAGGUUGAUAUUACAAGUAAAUGGAUUUUCAAAAAAAGAGUUUUCACAUGUACAGUUAUAUGGAUUAUGAGAGUUAGAGGACAGAUUAGAUUCAUACCUAUGUCUGAUUAAUUCAGAACUGACCAUUAUCAAUUUAUAAAUAGAAGGCUGUCAAAUUUUAAAAUUCUAUAAAGCAGCAUUAGUUUAGAUUAUCAUAUGUUUUUCUUUAUUUGACACUCAACAAAAUAUCAAAAUUAUGUCAUUCCUUUCCAUUUGUGGUAUUUUAAAAUCUAAAGCCAUUUAACCAUUUCUUUCAUACGAUUUUUGUUGAUUAUCUAUCUAUCUAUCUAUCUAUCUAUCUAUCUAUCUAUUUAUAUUUAUUUUAGAGAGCUAGAAAGAGAGCAUGAGUAGGAGAGGGAGAGCGCAUCUCAAGCAGACUCCAUGGUGAGUACAAAGCCAAUGUGGUGCUCUAUCUCACCAUCCUGAGAUCAGGACCUCAGCCUAACCAAGAGUUGGAAGUUUAACUCACUGGGCUAGCCAGGCACCCCCUGAUGGUGUCUUUUUAGAGGAAAUAAUGUAACUCUAUUUUAUAACAUGAAUCUGUAGCACAAAAAUUUUAGUUUCAAAUUUGUAUUUUUAUUUUCAAAACAGAUAAAUUGAGUCUUACAUAAUUGAAAUUUAAUAGUGUAUAGUGAAUAGACAUUUUAAAAUCUUCCUUUGCAAAAAAAAGAACUAUAUUUCUGUUUUAUAGUUGCCAUAAUUAUAAAAUUUAAGUACACUAAAACAAAACAAGACAUUUUAUUCAGUUCUGAGGUGCUGACCAUUGUAAUUUGUUUCCUAGGUUUAAUGUAUAUAGCCUUCCUAAUCAUGAUAAAGAAGGUGAUAUUAAUUAAGAAUCCACUUCUAGUGACUAUCUUAGAGAUAGUACUAAUGAAUAGUGAGCUCAUGUUCUUGGUUUAAGAGCAUGAGGGUGCUAUAUGGGUGAAGAAUUGGCACUGCUUUUGAUGGCAAGAGAAUGAAGCAUGAGAAAAUUGGAUAUCUAUAUGGGCAGAGACUGAUUUGGUAGGGGUGGGAAUGGUACCUAAAACUCCAAAGUUUACUUUUUAUUAUGUCUAAUUGGCCAUAUAUUUUACCACCCUCCAAUUAAUUGAAGGUAUUUUACAGUAUAUUCCUCAUAGUUCAUAUAUUAGAAGUAGAUGUAAAGGAGUAAGAAUAGGAAAUAGAUAUAAGGAAUAUAGAGUUUUGAAGGACUAAUGAAAAAUAAAUACACUUAGCCAACCUAUCAAAACUUUAUUCUAUCAGUAAUAGGCAGUGAUAAUAUCUAAUAUUCAUAUUUUAUAUGUUAUCAAGUUCAAUAUCAGCUACCAUAAGAAGUUUACAGGAAAAUUUAUAAAAUGCAAGCUAAUAUUUUAAUUUGUCAAAGUAAUUUUACAUCAUACUUGAAGAGAUAUUUUCAUGUGGAAAUCAUUUAUCUAUACUUUGUUUAUUAUUAUCAUUAUCUGUUGUCUAAUGUGCUUCAAAAGAAUUGAGAUUAAAUGUUUAGAAGGACUCCACAGAAAAAUGGUAUGGUGAAUAGAGAGUUGUAGCUCCUACAAAACU